UUAAUAGCUUAAAGAGAAGGCCUUGGUACUUACAGGCGAUGAAGGACGUUUUUUAAUCGACGAAACGCUUUGUAUAGCUGAUUUAAAAAGCAUUUAAAAACAAAGAUUUCCGAAUAGGGUAUAACCUUUUAAUUUUUUAAUUAAGAAUAUUUAAAUAUUUAAGAUUAAAAAAAGCUAACUUGGGGAACUGAAACAUCUUAGUACCCAAAGGAAAAUAAGUAACAACGAUUUCCUUAGUAGUGGCGAGCGAACCGGAAAUAAAAAUAUAUUUUAUAUUUUUAGUAAAUAGAUAUAUAUAUUAUAAUUUAUAUCUAUAAAAAGUAAAAUGGAAAAAGUUUUAAUUCCGUUUGAAUUAAUAAGAUCACGAGUAUCUCCUCGUAAUACUAAAUACUCGUAAGUAACCAAUAGUGAACUAGUACUGUGAAGGAAAGGUGAAAAGAACCCCGAAGUGAGGGGAGUGAAAAGAACAUGAAACUUUAAGCUAACAGAAACAAUAGAAGGGUUAUAAGAACCUAACUAUAUACCUAUUGAAGAAGGGACCGAUGAGUCAUAGUUUGUAAGCAAAUAAGGUUAAGUAUUAUAUAUAUAAAAUACGGAGCCAGAGUGAAAGCGAGCUUAAAAAUAAAGCAUAAAAUAAAGUUUACUUCUAUGAACCCGAAUCCGGAUGAUCUAAGUAUGUCCAAAGUGAAGCAAAGGUUAAACUUUGUGGAGGCUUGUACUGGUUAAUACUGCAAAAUUAUCAGAUGAGAUGUAUUUAGGGGUGAAAUGCCAAUCGAAUCCGGAGCUAGCUGGUUCUCCCCGAAAUGUAUUUAAGUACAGCUGCUUUUUAAAUAAAAAAUAAUAGUUAGGGGUAAAGCACUGUUUUUUGAUUAAAACUAUAAUAUUAUUUAUUAGGAUUUAAUUAAUUCAACCUAUGAAUACUACUAUUAUUUAGCAAGUGAGACUUAAGGGGCUAAUCUCUUAAGUCAAAAGGGAAACAGCCCAGACCAUUAGUUAAGGUCCUUAAAGAUUAUUAAGUUAUAAAGGAAGUAAAAUUAUUAAAACAGCCAGGAGGUUGGCUUAGAAGCAGCCAUCCUUUAAAGAGUGCGUAAAAGCUCACUGGUUUAGUGAUUUUAUGCCGAAAAUUUAAGGGAAUAAAUAAUCUACCGAAACUGUGGGAUAUAAUUAUAAUAAAUUAUAUCGGUAGGGGAGCGUUCUACCUUAGGAUAAAGUUUUAAUGAGAAUUAAAAUGGACGAAGUAGAAGUGAGAAUAUCGGUUUAAGUAGCAAUAAUAUCAGUAAAAAUCUGAUACUCCUAAAAACUAAGGUUUCCUAUGAAAUUGUUUUUCAACAUAGGGUUAGUCGGGGCCUAAAAUGAGAUGAAAUGUGUAAUUGAUGGGUAAUUAGAUUAAUAUUUCUAUACCAUAAUUAUUUUGCAAUAAGUGACAAAUUUAAAAUUAAAAUAAAAAAUAUUGGUUAUUUUUUUUAUAUUAAAAUUAAGUUUCAAGAAAAACUUUAUUUGCGUUAAAGAUAAUUAAUGCCCGUACCAUAAACCGAAACAGGUGGUUAAGUAAAAAAUACUAAGGAGUACGAGAUAACUCUCUCUAAGGAACUAGGCAAAUUAAUCCUGUAACUUCGGGAGAAGGGAUACCCUAUUUAUUAGGGUAAUAAAAUAGACCCGAGCGACUGUUUAUCAAAAACACAGGUCUCCGCUAAAUUGAAAAAUGAUGUAAGGAGGCUGACGCCUGCCCAGUGCCGGAAGGUCAAAAUAAAUAAUAUUAAUAAUUAUUAUUUAUUAAGCCCCGGUAAACGGCGGCUGUAACUAUAACGGUCCUAAGGUAGCGAAUUUCCUUGUCGGGUAAGUUCCGACCCGCACGAAAGGCGUAACGACUUGGGUACUGUCUUUGAGAGAGACUCGGCGAAAUAGAAAUGUCCGUGAAGAUGCGGACUUCCUACACCAGGACAGAAAGACCCUAUGAAGCUUUACUAUAACUUGAUAUUGAAUUUUAUAUUUAAUUGCGCAGAAUAAGUGGGAGACUUUGAUUUUAUUUUUUAGGAAAUAAAGGAGUCUACCUUGAGAUACCACUCUUUUAAUAAUAAAAUUCUAACAAAAAUUCUGUAAACCAGUUUUUGGACAGUUUUAGGCAGGUAGUUUGACUGGGGCGGUCGCCUCCUAAAAAGUAACGGAGGUGUACAAAGGUUUUUUUAAUAUAAAAGUAAAAAAAAGCUUAACUGUGAGACUUACAAGUCAAGCAGAGACGAAAGUCGGUUUUAAUGAUCUGACAAUAUUAAGUGAGAAUAUUGUCACUUAACGGAUAAAAGUUACUCUAGGGAUAACAGGCUGAUCUUCCCCGAUAGUUCCUAUUGACGGGAAGGUUUGGCACCUCGAUGUCGGCUUGUCGCAUCCUGGGGCGGUAGUACGUCCCAAGGGUUGGUCUGUUCGCCCAUUAAAGCGGCACGUGAGCUGGGUUCAGAACGUCGUAAGACAGUUUGGUCCGUAUCCGGUGUAGGCGCUAGAACAUUGAAAGAAUUUCUUUUAGUACGAGAGGAUCAAAGAAACUAUACCUAUGAUGUACCAGUUAUUCUACCAAGAGUAUAGGCUGGGAAGUUAAGUAUAGAUAAAUAAUAUAUUAACUGCUGAAAGCAUAUAAGCAGGAAAAAUAUCUUAAGAUUAAUGUUCUAUUCUAUUUUAAAAAAAAAUUAAAAUAAGAGUAAGAAAUCAAUAAGAAUAAUUGUUAAUUAGCUUUUAUAAAGUAUAAGUAUAGUAAUAUAUUUAGCUUCUAAGACUAAUAUUUCGAGUAAUUGAACU
rnacentral:rRNA from 1 species